rnacentral:snoRNA from 1 species
GUCCUCUCGGGGUCACACCUGGAGUGUUUUCAGUACUCUACCAGUCUCGGCUACGGGAGGGAGAGUCAAGCAGAAGCCUACCCAUUCCAUUCCUAGCUUGGGCAGUGGCUAGCCAGUGGAAGGCAGUCGGCUACAAGU